rnacentral:rRNA from 1 species
UAGGGAAUCUUCCGCAAUGGGCGAAAGCCUGACGGAGCAACGCCGCGUGAGUGAUGAAGGUCUUCGGAUCGUAAAACUCUGUUAUUAGGGAAGAACAAAUGUGUAAGUAACUAUGCACGUCUUGACGGUACCUAAUCAGAAAGCCACGGCUAACUACGUGCCAGCAGCCGCGGUAAUACGUAGGUGGCAAGCGUUAUCCGGAAUUAUUGGGCGUAAAGCGCGCGUAGGCGGUUUUUUAAGUCUGAUGUGAAAGCCCACGGCUCAACCGUGGAGGGUCAUUGGAAACUGGAAAACUUGAGUGUAGAAGAGGAAAGUGGAAUUCCAUGUGUAGCGGUGAAAUGCGCAGAGAUAUGGAGGAACACCAGUGGCGAAGGCGACUUUCUGGUCUGUAACUGACGCUGAUGUGCGAAAGCGUGGGGAUCAAACAGG